CCAAUAGCGUAUAUUAAAGUUGUUGCAGUUAAAAAGCUCGUAGUUGAAUUUCGGGAUUGGCGCAUCGGUCGUGCCUCACGGGGUAUGAACUGGUGCAGUCAAUUUCUCACCUUCUGGAGAACCGCGAUGUCCUUAAUUGGAUGCCGCGGGGAACCAGGACCUUUACUGUGAAAAAAUUAGAGUGUUUAAAGCAGGCAUUUUUGCUUGAAUACAUUAGCAUGGAAUAAUAAAAUAGGACGGCAUGGUUCUAUUUUGUUGGUUUCUAGGACCACCAUAAUGAUUAAUAGGGAUAGUUGGGGGCAUUAGUAUUCAAUUGUCAGAGGUGAAAUUCUUGGAUUGAUUGAAGACUAACUACUGCGAAAGCAUUUGCCAAGGAUGUUUUCAUUAAUCAAGAACGAAAGUUAGGGGAUCGAAGACGAUCAGAUACCGUCGUAGUCUUAACCAUAAACUAUGCCGACUAGGAAUCAGACGAUGUUAAUUUUUUAAUGACUCGUUUGGCACCUUACG
rnacentral:rRNA from 1 species